rnacentral:rRNA from 1 species
AUUGAACGCUGGCGGCAUGCCUUACACAUGCAAGUCGAACGGUAACAGGUCUUCGGAUGCUGCCGAGUGGCGGACGGGCGGGUAAUACAUCGGAACGUGCCCGAUCGUGGGGUGUAACGGAGCGAAAGCUUUACUAAUACCGCAUACGAUCUUCGGAUGAAAGCAGGAGACCGCAAGGCCUUGCGCGAUCGGAGCGGCCGAUGUGCGAUUAGGUAGUUGGUGGGAUAAAGGCUUACCAAGCCGACGAUCUGUAGCUGGUCUGAGAGGAUGACCAGCCACACUGGGACUGAGACACGGCCCAGACUCCUACGGGAGGCAGCAGUGGGGAAUUUUGGACAAUGGGCGAAAGCCUGAUCCAGCCAUGCCGCGUGCAGGAUGAAGGCCUUCGGGUUGUAAACUGCUUUUGUACGGAACGAAAAGACUCUGGUUAAUACCUGGGGUCCAUGACGGUACCGUAAGAAGAAGCACCGGCUAACUACGUG